rnacentral:lncRNA from 1 species
GGGUUCAAACUGUAGAACCCAGUUCCUACAAUUGAAAAUAAAAAUGGAUUGUAUCAAACAAAACUAUGCUACAUUUUAUCUCUGGGACCCUCAGAAUGACAAAUCAGAGCAAGAUUACUGAAUGUAAGUACAUUAUUUACCUUCAGAGGUGAAUGUACGAAACCAGUUUCCGUGAUAAGUUUUUUAGCAUGGUCUUUUUUCACUGUAAUGGCUACUGUAAAUUGGACAGUGCAGAUAGAUUAACAAUCAUUUAAGCUUUCUGCACAUAUAAGACAUGUCUAUGUCCUGGAAAGUUUGCUGUUACUAACAAGUCAUGCUAAUCACAUUAGCGCACGUUUACUCAACCAUCCCUGUUAGGGACACCGAUCCUGUAGAGGUUUUAAUUUGAUCACCCUGCAAUACAGGAACAUUUUAACUUUAAAAAGGCUUUUGAAGUUUGUAAUUUCCACUUUCAAAUUUCAAACUUGAUUUUCACUUAUGAAAAAUGUAUCAACCCCUACAUAAAUGUCCAUGAAUUAUAAUCCACAUAAUAAUUCACUUUUUCUGUUGCUGCAGGAUUAUUUUCCUGCUGUAGCAAACUGGCACAUACUACAUAUGUACAAACAAAUGCAUAACAACAGUUCAUAAAAUAUGUAUUGAGCCUCUAUGAGGCACAGAGGAAUUAGUUGUAUUUUUCCAUUUCACAUAAAAAGAAAGUGAGAGCUUGAGCAACAGGUCAAUGGGUCUAAUGAAUAGAUCUACUACCUUGAUAAAAGGUUGGAUUUGACAGAACUUUCAAGCCUGACACAUAGUACAGUUAGUGGACAAACCAUUAGGAACACCUUCCUAAUAUUGAGUUGCACCCCCUUUCGCCGUCAGAACAGCCUCAAUUCGUCUGGGUAUGGACUCUACAAGGUGUCGGAAGUGUUCCACAGGGAUGCUGGCCCAUGUUGACUCCAAUGCUUCCCACAGUUGUGUCAAGUUGGCUGGAUGUCCUUUGGGUGGUGAACCAUUCUUGAUACACACGGGAAAGUGUUGAGCAUGAAAGUUCUUGACACACUCUAACCAGUAUGCCUGGUACCUACUACCAUGUUCAAAGGCACUUAAAUAUUUUGUAUUGCCCAUUCACCCUCUGAAUGGUUCAAAUACACAAUCCAUGUCUCAAUUGUCUCAAGGCUUAACAAUCAUUCUUUAACCUUUCUCCUCCCUUUCAUCUACACUGAUGGAAGUGGAUUUAAUAAGGGAUCAUAGCUUUCGCCUGGAUUCACCUGGUCAGUCCAUGUCAUGGAAGGAGCAGGUGUUCCUAACAUUUGUGUAGUCAGUGUAUAUUUUAUAUACCACUAUACUGCCUUACCAUGCAAAAAGGCAGUAACUGCUAAUUUGGUCAAAAAUUGGUUAAUGUCAUUUUAUCUACAUUAAAUACAUGCUUAAUCAUGUGGACAAGUAUCCUGCCUCUAUUGUAUUGUGUUCUGGAGAAAAUGGGGGUCAUGUUAGCAGUAACUGCAUAAAGUUACUUUGAAACCAAGGUAAAUAAAAUACAUUUUUCUCAGUUCCACUCUAUGAGCAGUUACUGCCAUUUUGCUUGGUAGGGCAGUAUAGCUCCUAAAAUGUCUUGGUUUUACUCAAUAAUUGAUAUUUCUGUUGAAGUUGUCAUUGCACAAAAUUCUGUCUGGUGAGAUUUGGACAGCAUUCAACCGUUUUAAAUUGAAGCAUCAGAGAGCUGUUUUCAACUCUUCAAAACAGAUGGUUCUAUGCUGCAUUGUAGAGGAAAAUGGCAAUUGGUGAGUCAAGUGUGCUCGAAAGUCAUCACAUUUUAUGCUGAAUUGAUGUUGAUGUCUUUUUUUAGCAUGAAGGAGUUUGUAUUUCAGUUUAAACAGCUUCCUCAAUCAAGUUGAAUCACUCCUGCCAAGGUGUCUCAAAUGGCUUAUUGCUUAAUCAUGUGGAAGUGACAAUAGCCCAACCCUGUUCUCUCGCUCUCUUUCUCUCUCUCUCUGUUUCUCUCUCUCUCUGGCUGCCUUCUGCGUUUAGACAGGCAGCCCAAUUCUGAUCUUUUUUUCACUAAUUGGUCUUUUGACCAAUCAGAUCAAGAUCUGAAACAGAGCUGAUGUGAAAAGAUCAGAUGUGAUUGGUCAAAAGACCAAUUAGUGGAAAAAUAUCAAAAUUGGGCAGCCUGUGUAAAUUCUCUCUCUCUCUCUCUCUCUCUCUCUCUCUCUCUCCAUAUUUUCAUUUUUUUCUCUUGGUAAGUUUGGAGAAGCUAUUAAAGAAAUAGCAAAUGGCUUCUUAAGUGACAUUUGCUGACAUUCAAUGAAGUGCAUUUAUCAGUGUAGCACAGUUCACCUCGGUGAAUUAAAUCCAUUUGUGCUGGUGGGUCAGAGUGGUUCGCCACGCUCUCUCUCUCCCCCUUUAAAUUGAUGCCCAGCGAAUGGGAAAUGGCAAGGUGGCGCAUGGCUCUGCAGCUGCUCUCAAAUGUCACGCUGGAAAAUCUUUAAUGGGCUAAGUGUAGCCUUUCCGGCCUCAACUUGUCAGGUAAUCAGACGUCUCUGUAGCUCAUCUCCCCUCCCUCCCUCCCUCCCUCCUGCCCUCUCCCACAUCUCUCUGGCUCCCCCCGAGGCCUCGACACACUACUAAUUACCAGCAAUACCAAUUGAAGCGAGGGGGCCGUGAAACAGGUAGACUUCUUUUAAAGGAGAGAUAUUGGAGCCGCCAUCUCCAUGGAUGCAUAUUAUUAGCCUGGUUAUGUAUCUGUUUUAUCCAGAUGCUCCCUGUGUGGAAUCCUGGGGCUGUUGAUGGUGACUGAUAUUAAGGAGUGUUUUUAUUCUCUGCCUUGGAACUUUGUGAACCUGUUGCUCCUUUUCCCUGGGGAACUCUUAUGUGGUUGAGCAGGAAGAGCUGAUAGUGGCCUUGCUCACUAGAAUCAAUACAACUACAUAUUUAGAAAAAUGUAAGCCUCAAACUGACAUAGGGUCAUGUCUAAAGACAAAAGGACAUAGGGUCAUGUCUAAAGACAAACUAACACAGGGUUAUGUCUAAAGACAAAGUGACGUCAAAACUUGCAUAAUCGACUCCCGUCUGUGUAAUGUUUGUUCCUUAUAUAUUGACAAACCGGGGUGCAGGUUUAACUACUUUUAUUGAACAUAUUCUUCAGCUAGAAAACUCCAUGUUUAGCCAUGCAAGGCAUUCUUCAACCACCCGCCUAGCCUGCUGGGUAACGUAGUCUAAAUGUUAUUAACACAUAACAACACAUCUUCUUUCCUUUAAAAGAAAACUACUUUUCUAUGUAACUACACAUGUCACAUCACAUUUGUUUACUCAACCUGCAUAACAUGAAAUUUUCAAUAACACACAUUUCUUUCCCCCAAUUUUUUAAAUAUAUUUUUAUAUAUUAUUUUUUCAACUGAAUACAGUCUGUCCAACAAUACUCUAUUGUGGCUCUAUUUCUUUUCACAUAAACAAAACAUUCAGUCCAGGUGCCCCUUUUCUGUAUUUUUAUUUUAUUUUAUUUUUUAGCAAUUCUCAAUAAGCCUUUCAGGGGCUCUGACAGUCCUUUUUGGUCGUUCUGCUGAAGUGCUUCUUGAAACAGUUGGACAGCGUUCAUUGUCAGUCAGGGUGUUUUGACUGAAUUGUCCAUUUCUAAAGGCAUUUGACACUUCAGCAGUAUCCUCCUGAUGAUCCUCAGUCCCUUGAGUGUAUGGCUGAAGCCUUAGAUCCACUCUGUUUCGUCUCAGUUGGGAUCCAUGCUCUGUUUGGAUCUCAUAGGAUCCAAACAUAGGAUUCAUAGGAUUCUCUCUGCACACACCCUUGCGGCAUCCAGGUUCCUGUAGUGAUGUCUCGGAGUCGUACAUCUCCAGGUUUCAGUUCAGGUAAGUGUCUUGCACUUUUGUCGUGUCGCUGUUUUUGUUUGUCUUUCUGUUUUUCCUUCACGAGUUUGACUUUGUGAGCACCUCUGGGUGUUAGCAAGUCCUCAUGGAUGGGUAGGUUGGUUCUGAUGCGACGUCCCAUCAACAUUUGUGCAGGUGAAAGUCCAUUCUGCAGCGGUGCGCUGCGGUAGAUCAUCAGAUGUUUUAGGAAAUCCACCUUUCCAUCGAGUGCCUUUUUCAUCAGACCUUUGACAAUUUUGACUGAACUCUCUGCUAAGCCGUUGGACCUUGGGUAGUUGGGGCAGGAGGUGUUGUGUCGGAAUCCCCAGUCAUUAGCGAACGAUCGGAAUUCGGAACUUGAGAACUGCGGGCCAUUGUCCGAGUACAGUUCAGACGCAACCCCAUGUCUUGCAAAGACUGAUUCUAGGUAGGUGAUUACAGCUUUGCUGGAGGUAGUUGGCAGUGUUGCUACUUCAGGGUAGUUUGAGUAGUAGUCGGUAACAACAAUGUGACUUUUGCCAUUGCAGUCAAAAAGGUAAACUCCAACUUUGUAGUAGGGUCUGUUGGGUACUGGAUGAGGCAUUAGCGGCUCUGCUUGCUGCUUUGGCCUGUAGGUCAAACAUAGUUCACAUGAAGCAGUGGUCUGGCUGACUUCCUGGUUCAUUCUUGGCUAGUACAUUACUUCUCGUGCUCGUCGUUUGCAUUUUUCCUCACCCAAGUGGCCCUCAUGUAUUUUCUGUAGCAUUUCUUUGCGUAGUGUCAUGGGAAUGACAAUCUUGUUGCCUUUGAACACUAUGUCAUCCACAACGGUGAGCUCUGCUCUGCCCAUACAGUGAUCCUGUAUUCUCCUUGGACAGUUGUUUUUCUGUGCGGGCCAUCCUAUCAGUGUGUCAUUGUUUGGUCAGCUGCGGUCUCUCUUUUGAUCUGCUCCAUUCUCUCAGAAGACACAGGAAGUGAUGCUAUGAUCAUGUCGACGUAGGCCUGAAUCUCAGUGUUUUUAUGUGUGUCUAUGCUCUCCUUCUUGUCGACUGCUCGAGAAAGAGUGUCGGUGGCGAACAUGAACUUUCCCGGGGUAUAGAUCAUCUUCACAUCAUACUUUUGCAGUCUGAUCAACAUUCUCUGGAUUCUCAUUGGACAAUCAUUCAGUGGCUUAGACAUGAUUUGUGGUCGGUUUGUACUUCGAAGUCUCGUCCGUAGACGUAUUGGUGAAACCUUUCGCAAGCGUAUGUGCUCGCCAGUAGUUCUUUCUCUAUUUGUGCAUACCUUGUCUCUGCGCCUGUCAAGGCUCUGGACGCAUAAGCGACGGGUUGCCAUGUGUCGUCAUGCUGUUGCAGAAGAACUGCUCCCAGGCCAAACUGUGACGCGUCUGCAGAAAUCGUUGUGCUUUUCUAAGGAUCAUAGAACCUGAGCACUGGCUCUUCUAUGAUUGUCUUCUUUAGGUUUUUGAAGCAGUUUUCCUGUUCAUGGGACCAUUCCCAUUCAUUUUUCUGUUCCAGAAGACAUCUGAGUGGAGCGGACUGUGCUGACAGUUGAGGUAUGAACUUUGCAAUGUAGGUGAUCAUGCCCAUGAAGCGUCUAACAUCAUCCUUGUUCUUCGGGCACUCCAUGUUGUUGAUGGCUGAUGUUUUCCUCGGGUCUGGUUUGACUCCAUCCUCUGAAAGUACGUCUCCCACGAAGGUGAAACCCCUGACAUAGAGGGCCCACAGGGGAAGAACAGUCACUAGCUCAGUAAUCCACAGAGCGCUUUGUACUACCACAAUGGCCAGGUCAUGGAAGCGGGAGGAGGAGACACUAAGAGCCAUUGUUGAGGAGGUGGAGGGAAGUGGUACCUAUCGCCCCCAGUCCCCCAGCCCCAUUCAGGAUGAGUUAAUCACGUUAUUAUACGAGGGACAUGUACAGCAGUGAAAAAGGUGACGGUGUCAGGGUGGGGAUGAGGCAGAGUGCUCCAGGGGGGCCUUUAUUGAUAUAGAUUUGCCUUUUAUUGAUAAGCAGGUCUUGUAUGUAUGUAUAGGAAGAUGGACUUACAUACAAAUACUUCAGAAUAGAUAUUUUGGAUCAGACAGUAUUUUCUUGUAAUAGUUCCAUUUCCAGAGUACUCUAGCAGUACCCAAGGGUGGUGGUGUUCUCUCUCUCUUUUUCUCCUCCUCCUCUUUCUCUCUCUCCCUCUCAGUGAUGGAGUGUGGGAUAAGGGCGGUAGCGGUCUCUUCCUCAGUGAUGUGGAUGCUGUCAGGGCAACAUACACAUAGCAGAGUGAAACACAUCUCAAGGGGAGGAGACCAGGAAGAGCUAUGUCUGGGCUAUUAGGAUAUCUGAGCUGCUCAUUCUUUCCACAGAAGACGUCCUCGCCUCUCCAAAGACUGCCUGUCGGAAAAGUGCAUUUCUGUGUAAAAGCCAGGAGGUGUGAGUGUGGAUGUUUUUUCUCUCUUCAUCCAUGCAGACUCGGCCGGCGGCUAUGGUACUGACAGAGAGCCAAAGUGAGCAUGUCUGAGAAUCUGUCGGCGUUAUGAUAUGGCAUGAAAAUAAACUGCCUGGCUGUCUUGUCUCUGGCUCACGUGUAACACACAAAAUAAAAUAAUGUUUCAUACUGCAAGG